AAUUUUGGACAAUGGGCGAAAGCCUGAUCCAGCAAUGCCGCGUGCAGGAUGAAGGCCUNCGGGUUNUNAACUGCUUUUGUACAGGNAGAAAACAUACUACGUGUAGUAAAUUGACGGUACUGUAAGAAUAAGGAUCGGCUAACUCCGUGCCAGCAGCCGCGGUAAUACGGAGGAUCCAAGCGUUAUCCGGAAUCAUUGGGUUUAAAGGGUCCGUAGGCGGCCUUAUAAGUCAGCGGUGAAAGUUUUUGGCUUAACCAAAAAAUUGCCGUUGAUACUGUAGGGCUUGAAUUUUUGUGAAGUAACUAGAAUAUGUAGUGUAGCGGUGAAAUGCUUAGAUAUUACAUGGAAUACCAAUUGCGAAGGCAGGUUACUAACAAACGAUUGACGCUGAUGGACGAAAGCGUGGGUAGCGAACAG
rnacentral:rRNA from 1 species